GGCGGCGUGCUUAACACAUGCAAGUCGAACGAACCUUCGGGUUAGUGGCGGACGGGUGAGUAACGCGUGGGAAUCUGCCCUCAGGAGGGGGAUAACGACUGGAAACGGUCGCUAAUACCCCAUAUGCCGAGAGGUGAAAUGAAUUUCGCCUGAGGAUGAGCCCGCGUCUGAUUAGCUAGUUGGUGGGGUAAGAGCUCACCAAGGCGACGAUCAGUAGCUGGUCUGAGAGGAUGACCAGCCACACUGGGACUGAGACACGGCCCAGACUCCUACGGGAGGCAGCAGUGGGGAAUUUUCCGCAAUGGGCGAAAGCCUGACGGAGCAACGCCGCGUGAGGGAUGAAGGCCUCUGGGCUGUAAACCUCUUUUCUCAAGGAAGAAGAUCUGACGUUACUUGAGGAAUAAGCCACGGCUAAUUCCGUGCCAGCAGCCGCGGUAAUACGGGAGUGGCAAGCGUUAUCCGGAAUCACUGGGCGUAAAGCGUCCGCAGGUGGCUUUGUAAGUCUGCCGUUAAAGCGUGGAGCUUAACUCCAUUUCAGCGGUGGAAACUACAAGGCUUGAGUGUGGUAGGGGCAGAGGGAAUUCCCGGUGUAGCGGUGAAAUGCGUAGAUAUCGGGAAGAACACCAGUGGCGAAGGCGCUCUGCUGGGCCAUAACUGACACUCAUGGACGAAAACCAGGGGAGCGAAAGGGAUUAGAUACCCCUGUAGUCCUGGCCGUAAACGAUGAACACUAGGCGUCGGGGGAAUCGACCCCCUCGGUGUCGUAGCCAACGCGUUAAGUGUUCCGCCUGGGGAGUACGCACGCAAGUGUGAAACUCAAAGGAAUUGACGGGGGCCCGCACAAGCGGUGGAGUAUGUGGUUUAAUUCGAUGCAACGCGAAGAACCUUACCAGGGUUUGACAUCCUGCGGACCCCUGAGAAAUCGGGGGGUGCCUUCGGGAACGCAGUGACAGGUGGUGCAUGGCUGUCGUCAGCUCGUGUCGUGAGAUGUUGGGUUAAGUCCCGCAACGAGCGCAACCCACGUCUUUAGUUGCCAGCAUUCAGUUGGGCACUCUAGAGAGACCGCCGGUGAUAAACCGGAGGAAGGUGUGGAUGACGUCAAGUCAUCAUGCCCCUUACAUCCUGGGCUACACACGUACUACAAUGCUACGGACAAAGGGCAGCGAACUCGCGAGAGCAAGCAAAUCCCAUAAACCGUGGCUCAGUUCAGAUCGUAGGCUGCAACUCGCCUACGUGAAGGAGGAAUCGCUAGUAAUCGCAGGUCAGCAUACUGCGGUGAAUACGUUCCCGGGCCUUGUACACACCGCCCGUCACACCAUGGAAGUUAGCCACGCCCGAAGUCGUUACUCCAACCCUUGUGGAGGAGGAUGCCGAAGGUGGGGCUGAUGACUGGGGUGAAGUCGUAACAAGGUA
rnacentral:rRNA from 1 species